GAUGAACGCUGGCGGCGUGCUUAACACAUGCAAGUCGAACGGAAAGGCUCCUGCUUGCAGGGGUACUCGAGUGGCGAACGGGUGAGCAACACGUGGGUGAUCUGCCCUGCACUUCGGGAUAAGCCUGGGAAACUGGGUCUAAUACCGGAUAGGACGAUGGUUUGGAUGCCAUUGUGGAAAGUUUUUUCGGUGUGGGAUGAGCUCGCGGCCUAUCAGCUUGUUGGUGGGGUAAUGGCCUACCAAGGCGUCGACGGGUAGCCGGCCUGAGAGGGUGUACGGCCACAUUGGGACUGAGAUACGGCCCAGACUCCUACGGGAGGCAGCAGUGGGGAAUAUUGCACAAUGGGCGCAAGCCUGAUGCAGCGACGCCGCGUGGGGGAUGACGGCCUUCGGGUUGUAAACUCCUUUCGCUAGGGACGAAGCGCAAGUGACGGUACCUGGAGAAGAAGCACCGGCUAACUACGUG
rnacentral:rRNA from 1 species